CCUUCUACCACUGCCUUAGUCAUCUCUGGCUGCUGGAAGAGAAUACUGUCGACUGGAUCGCUUCAACACAUCUUUCCCACAGCUCUGGAGCCUGGAACAGCUGAGGACCCAGUAGCUGUGCCGGGACGGGCCUAGGAGCUGCGAAUUCAAAAGAUGAAGAAGGCAAAGUCCCACGUGAAGGACUUCUUUUACUGGACGGGCUAUUCUGAUUGGCGAAGACGAACCACCACCUAAAGCGAAUGAUAAAUACUACAAUGAAAACAAAGCGAGUACGAUCGAGAGUGACAGGGAGACACUUUAAACUGGAUGACCCAGAAAGCCUAUCUGAGGGUGUGUUGUGAAUAACCAGAGCCGGCCAUGCAAAAAUCUCCAGGAGAAGAACAUGCUCGGAGGGAGGGACCUGCCGGUGCAAAGGCCAAAAGUCUCCACUUCCUCGUGACAACCCUGAGAGGUAGGAGUUAAUACGCCCAGAUGUCAAUGAGGGUCCUAUUUGUAUACUUUCCACAAAGCCCGCCACAGUAUGGGGCUUGCA